CUUGGCUUCCGGUGGCGUGACACACAGACCCGGUUUAUGUUGGGGGCUUGUGGAACUCCCGAGAGGCGUUCAGGGCCUCACCUCGAACUAGUCCACCGAGCAUACUAGCUGUAUUGUAGGCUACAGAUGUUGUGUGUUUUACAAAUUCAAAGCAGGACCCUCCACCAGCGAAAGGAUUACAACUGGCUUUAUUGCCAGUCGUCGUCUGGAACGCAAACCGCCACAUCUCAGAGACAAAGGAAGGAAUAAAGAGAGAGAAACAUUGAUCAACCAUACAUGCCCUGACCGGGG